AGAAUGUGGUCAUAGUGAGCCUCACUGGGAAGGUGUCUCUUGAGUGAACCUUGAAGGAAGUAGGGGUGAGGGGUACAGAUGCUUAGGAGAAGAGCACCCCACUGAAGCCUUCGUGUGGGUUGUUCUGUCCAGCUCCCUUCUUAACCUGGGAAUCUGCAUCCACCUGGCCCCAUCUGUUGGCUGACUCCCAUCACAGAUUCUUGGAAGUCCUGUGUCCAAUGAGGAAAAUGCAGAAAACUGAGAACUUACCCAGCCUCUGAGACCGAUAGGCAUGGAGAUUCUCCCCCAGCAUACCUUCCUCUUGCCCUCUGGAAAUCCAAAUAAAAACUAAAGCAGCUGUCAAGUGUAAAAGUGAGACAUAAGUGCCCCCCCACCCCUCCGCCCAGGUUAAGGCCCCAGAUAUUGUCCCUGCUCUGCUGGCUGUCCUUCCCUACUCUGCCUUCUUCUUACCCUCCUCCAUAUUCCCCUCAGCUGGGAACAUAGACCUGAGACUAACGGAGUGUGAGCUCCUGCCUGAGACCCAUUUAUCAAGAGCUGGGGGCCAACUACGGUCCCCAGCCAAGUUCCCCUUGCAGU